AGUGAACGCUGGCGGUAGGCCUAACACAUGCAAGUCGAACGGCAGCACAGUAAGAGCUUGCUCUUACGGGUGGCGAGUGGCGGACGGGUGAGGAAUACAUCGGAAUCUACUUUUUCGUGGGGGAUAACGUAGGGAAACUUACGCUAAUACCGCAUACGACCUACGGGUGAAAGCAGGGGAUCUUCGGACCUUGCGCGAUUGAAUGAGCCGAUGUCGGAUUAGCUAGUUGGCGGGGUAAAGGCCCACCAAGGCGACGAUCCGUAGCUGGUCUGAGAGGAUGAUCAGCCACACUGGAACUGAGACACGGUCCAGACUCCUACAGGAGGCAGCAGUGGGGAAUAUUGGACAAUGGGCGCAAGCCUGAUCCAGCCAUACCGCGUGGGUGAAGAAGGCCUUCGGGUUGUAAAGCCCUUCUGUUGGGAAAGAAAAGCAGCAGGUUAAUACCCCGCUGUUCUGACGGUACCCAAAGAAUAAGCACCGGCUAACUUCGUG
rnacentral:rRNA from 1 species